rnacentral:rRNA from 1 species
CAGUAGCCGCGGGAAUACGUAGGGUGCAAGCGUUACUCGGAAUUACUGGGCGUAAAGCGUGCGUAGGUGGUGGUUUAAGUCCGUUGUGAAAGCCCUGGGCUCAACCUGGGAAUUGCAGUGGAUACUGGGUCACUAGAGUGUGGUAGAGGAUAGUGGAAUUUCCGGUGUAGCAGUGAAAUGCGUAGAGAUCGGAAGGAACAUCUGUGGCGAAGGCGACUAUCUGGGCCAACACUGACACUGAGGCACGAAAGCGUGGGGAGCAAACAGGAUUAGAUACCCGGGUAGUCCCUGUCUCUUAUAC